AUUGAACGCUGGCGGAAUGCUUUACACAUGCAAGUCGAACGGCAGCACGGACUUCGGUCUGGUGGCGAGUGGCGAACGGGUGAGUAAUGUAUCGGAACGUGCCCAGUCGUGGGGGAUAACGUAGUGAAAAUUACGCUAAUACCGCAUACGAUCUAUGGAUGAAAGCGGGGGAUCGCAAGACCUCGCGCGAUUGGAGCGGCCGAUAUCAGAUUAGGUAGGUGGUGGGGUAAAGGCCCACCAAGCCAACGAUCUGUAGCUGGUCUGAGAGGACGACCAGCCACACUGGAACUGAGACACGGUCCAAACUCCUACGGGAGGCAGCAGUGGGGAAUUUUGGACAAUGGGCGAAAGCCUGAUCCAGCCAUUCCGCGUGCAGGAUGAAGGCCCUCGGGUUGUAAACUGCUUUUGUACAGAACGAAAAGGUUUCUACUAAUACUAGGAGCUCAUGACGGUACUGUAAGAAUAAGCACCGGCUAACUACGUGCCAGCAGCCGCCGUAA
rnacentral:rRNA from 1 species